UUGCUUUUCCCUCCACAGUAUUAAACAGUCAUUUUAAAUGUUGGUGCUGUCACUUAGCAAACGAUGAAGUAGAGAUAAAGUGAAGCUGUGAGGCUCUAAUAGGCCUUCCACAGGGGAGCCCGAGAUACAGCAGGAAGUCCCAGCGGCCUUGCCUCCGGAGCACAGCUUCAUAAAACCAGCUCAGACUCUUUCAAACGAGCUGAGGCUCCUUUGAUCUCCGCAGGGAUUCUCUGUUCAAUUCAGAAGGAACUGCUUUUAAGCCACUGGGUCAAGCGGAUAUUUUAAGCCUGGUGCCCAGCAUUGAACAUUUCUCCUUGACAUAUGCACGUUCUUCUGUCUUGUGAGUACAUUUGGGGUAGAAUCAGUGUUUUUCUGCUGUAUCAAGGAACCAGUUUCCCAUCUUUCAGGGACAUGGUUUUCUGGCUGAGCUGGCCCAGGGCAAGCAGGCAGUCAUCCUGCAUUUAUCUCCUUCUAGAAAGUUCUGGAUUUUACUGGGACUGUGCGCUACUCCCUGUUCCUCAGAAUCCCAGGGUUUUUCCAAGUUGCCAUAGGGGCUCUCCAAAUAUUUCACUUGAUACUGAAUUUUACAAUGUUUAUAGCUAUUGAAACACUUGUAAUUAAACACAUAACCAAAUGUA
ensembl:lncRNA novel transcript, sense intronic to LMF1